UCUGCUUGUCCCCAGCACACGGGGGGGGGGGGGGGGGGGCACACACAGCCUGGAGUGUGAGAUGGGGCCACAUCCGGCUUGGCUCCCGGGGGCAUCGGCACUUUGGACCCUUCCCUCCUGCAGCUCCGAUCGCCACCUGACAUCAACGUCACCCUUCGGAAACAAAUGCUGCCUGUCGGGUCAGGCCAAAUGCCAAAACGCGCAACGUUCACGGUUUAGAAAGUCUAAUAAGACCCCAGCUCUCGGCUCCUCCCAGAUCUUCACUUAAUUUGCUUAUCUUGAUCUCCGAGGAUGUGGUGAAAUUUGCUCCUCUGUAAGUUCACACCUGUCAGGCCUCAACACUCAGCAGGUGCAGACUUAGCAGGUGGCCCUGGGACUACGGGGACACCCACCCUACAGCCCGCCCGCUGCUGUCUCCGAGAAAACACUUUGAAGAGAUUCUAAAAACAGUGUGUCUACCUCGAUUAUACAUCAAAUCCUAGUUAGUGGUCCACUUCCAGCUUUGUAGACAAAUAGCUAUUUCAAUCUCUCCGUCCCCGUGCAGUGAUCACAGGUGAAUAAGGAUGUUCCAGUCCUCCUCGUCUGUGGGAACGUAAGUCGCCACCUUCAAAUACACUAUUACUUUCCAAGUUACCCUGUUGGAGUGCGGGGCCUGCAGGGAGGCAGGAGGCACUGAGUGUGUGCUCGCUGGUCAGCAGGGGCUGGUGGGGGCGGGGGCCUCCUCGGAUCCCUCAGGGCGCGGUGAGGGACAUCCGGGGACUGUGGGGGGCGGUGCCCUCCAAAACGGAGAGGAGCCUCUGGCUCUCCGGGAAGUUUGCAGCCAGCUGGGGAGCAUCAGGGGCUCCCUCCCUCGGGGACAACGGGAUCCUGCUCUGUGUGUGGUCUUUGUGGCCUUCAGAAGCCACCACCCCGAGACAACUGUCCACUCCCAGAUGUCCUCCCCCAGGCAGGCCCUGUGGCCCCAGCUGCAGCCAGGGCGCCAGGGCAGCCCCGGACUCCGCGGGGACAGGCUCUCCAAGGUCACUGGUGUUGUGUUGCUUUCUGCACCUGCGGACGUCUUAUGUGCCCACUGGGUGCUGUGUGGACAGGACAGGGCCUCCCUGCGCGGGCCUCCCUGAGCCCUGAAAAUGUCACCGUCACAAACGCGGUUGGGCUGCUUAUCGUCCGAUGUGUGCUUUGUGGGAAAAGUUGCGAAGUUGCUCAGUACGAAAAUAUAUCGAAGAUGUUCAGAAUCUUGAAUUUAUGUGAAGCAGCUGAUCUAAACACGAACCAGAGAAGAGAAGAGAGUCAGGACUGCGGCCUCGGGCGAGGCUGCGCGGUGAAGCCCCCUCUGGACCCCCGGCACAAGGCCUGGGACACAGAAUGUGUGCAGUGAACACAGCUACGAGCAUGGGGGGUCCCCGUGCCUCCCAGGUGCUGUGGACACGCCCACACGGUGGCCCCCCGAGAAGCUCUGUCCGGGGACCGUGGCUGAGGAGCGAGCCCGGGAGUCAGGAGCGAUCCAGGAAUUCCUGGUGGGGUCACGGGGACCCCGGAGGCUGCAAUCCCCCCACCACCCCAGCCCGGGUUCCCCUCUCCACCCCUUCUGGUCCCCCCUCCACCUCUC